ensembl:snRNA U6 U6 spliceosomal RNA
GUGGUCACUUUGGGAGCACAUAUAUUAAAAUUGUAAUGAUACAGAGAAGAUUAGCAUGGCCCCUGCACAAGGGUGACAUGCAUGUUUGUGAAGGUUUCAUAUUUUUC